UAGGGGCCUCAGCUGACUCACUCGGCUCUUUCUGUCAAAGAUCUGCUCUGGUGUGUUCCUGGGAGGAUGAGGAUACCUAAACCAGCUUUAGUAUCCAUAAUGAAGAGCUCCUAGUGUGAUCUCUCAGAAGUGAUGCACUAACGAUUAAGAUCUGGGAGACUACCCUGCGGAAUUUCAUCUGACGCCAGUGGACAUCUAACUGAUGCCUUUGCCUGCAUAUAAGGCAAAGCUGACCCAUCCGUACCACAUGAAUUCUCCAGGAUGAGCACAGCGGUUAAACACUUCCUCUGGGACAGCUGCUAAUAUACAUGUCAUGGGCAGGCCAGUUUCACCAUGGCGCUGAGCAGACUCAGGUAUCGCGGUGGCAGGAAAGAGAGGAGAAGUCGCUUGCGGACCAGCCAUCACUCCUGGAAGUUCCCCGAGUCUCCAGGAAGUCGGCACCUCCUCCCUGAUUCAUGCUCUCCUGGAAAUCACACACUUCAGCCUGACCACCUCAGUCCUUUACAGCAGACUGCUACCAUUCAGAAAGUUACCAGCAAGUCAUUGGAUUGUAUGUCCACUAUCUUACAGAACCACCCCCCUUUUUGGAAAUCAGUAUUUCAAAGAUGAGGUGCUUGCUUUUGAAACAAAUAUGCCUCAGGGAUCAAUUAAUUUCAACACCAGCUACUGUGGUGGCUUCAGUAUCAUUUUGUGCUGAUUUGCAGAAAAAGGGAUUAAUUAUUGCCUUUUUAAACAAAUAUAACACCCCUGAAAGCACUGUGGCUUUUUUGUGAUACAAACUCCUCUGAAGUGUGAAGAAAUAAGCAAACGAUGUCCCAAAACCCAAUGUUUUUUUUCAUGGCACAAGAUUCGCCAGCUCCUCGGCAUCUGAUAAGGUGCUGAGCCGCUUCGAGCCAAAGUUACGGAGAAGUGUUUAGGGAGAGGGAGGCUGGAGAGGCGUCAGCAACCCGCUGACUAAAACGCAGUUCAUCACUGCGGACAAAUAUGGAUGCCUUUGCUAAACAGUGAUGUCGAGGACUUCCACUUGGGACCAGCUGUGACGACGGAGGCAUGCACACUGGGGAUAAAUCCCCCAUAUCAGCUGAAAGCUCCCAGUGUUUAUUCUUAUCGUUGGUUCCCCAGGUGUCCUGCUGCUUCUUGUCGUAACAGGGACUCUGUGUAGGUUUCACAGGUGUGAUCCUGGGACAUAUUACGUAUCGCAUCGAUUGUACUGUAUAUCUUGUGAUUGUCCAUAAUAAGCAAUUUGGGAUGGCAAAAUACAUUUUGACACUAAGGUGCACACAAUGGAGUCUAUGUCUAAUCUGUACCAAAUAGGAAACUUUAUUUGUUUAGUAAUGAAUUUUGUGCCAAAUCCAAAUCAAAUUGCAGC